rnacentral:tRNA from 1 species
AUUUAUAUAAUAUAAAAAUUAUAUUUGACUUCCAAUCAAAAAAUCUAUAUUUAAUAGUAUAAAUA